UAUAAGUUUUAUCUAUCCUUUAUUUUCAGCAAUUGCACUCAAUAAAUGGCUUUCGUCGCCCUCGGGUGUCGGCCAGCACGUGACCAUCCUGAUAUCCUGAGGAUAUCGGGAUCGGGGCGUGUCAGAUUGGUAUCAGAGCGUGGUUUGUUCAGAGCAUACUUAGGAUCCUCUUCUAUUAUCGUAGAGUGUUGGUUUUGACAUCAUUUGGAUGUCCAGACUUCUAGAUUUGGUGCCAUUCGGCGCAGUCGUGCGAAUCUUCCUCUAUUUGAAUUGUCACAUUCGGGUUGAUAUACAAGAAUUUGUGUCGGGAUUGUGCCUCAUCGGUGACGUGUUUGAAUUGUUGGACGACUUUCAGCUUCAGAUUGAUACUCUACGACGUGCAUUCCCUGGGAAUGACGGGCAUAGUCGGUGUUACUUGGAAGCGACGGAUUUUAGAAAUCUCAGCUUAAGGAAGUCUGGUCAAGACCAGCUGUAAAUUCGAAAUGGCGAUGCCACUCUACAACAUGCGUUCCCUAGGAAUUGCGGGCGGAGUCGGCUUUGCAUCGAAAUCUUGGGAAGCGGAAAAAAAAUCUUGGCAGUACGAAUUGACUAAGACCAACUGGAGUUCUGAAGCGGUGUUGUACUCUGCAACAUGCGUUCCUUAGGAAUGGCGGGCAGAGUCGUAUCUCUUUAGAAAUUACUCGAAACUUUCGAAAUGCAGAUUGAAGAAGCGAGUAAGUGCUAGUGGUGACGACGGUUAGUAGGUGGUAGUUGGUGGGAGCAAAAUCAAUGUUCUCGAACUCAUUACCACUGAAGAAAUUUGGGUGAAUCUUUAUAACAGUUCUCUGUGAUUGUUUUAUCGAUUACCUUCUCGUUUAUUCCAACGACGAAGUCAAGUUCACUGACCUUUGAUCGUCAGCUUCACAUCAAAUCCCUCGAGAGUUGACUUCGUCUAGAGAUUAUACUUUUCUUGGGAAACUCCUCGGUAGCAGACGUUAUUCUCAUCAAUUUCGAAAUGGAGUUGCGAUUCUUGUUGUUGUUGUAGUUGAACUUGGAUAAUGAAGAUUCAGCCUUGUUUGGAUAAACAAAUUCCUUGAACUUCACCUGGGUUUGGUACUUGGUAGUAAACCCUAGUUCCUCAUCCGUGUACUUUUCAGUGAAGGUGAACUUAGUCCCUUGCUUGCAACCUAACUGUUCAGCCUUGUAAUUUUCAGCGUAAUGGCUUGAGACUCUAUCAUAUUCAUCAUUGUACGAAGAUCGAGCUUUACUCUGAACUUCUCUGGGCUCGUUAAGCUUUGAUUUGCUCAGAGGCAUCACUUUAAGGUAGCCAAUCGUGUCACUGCAUGCAUACACAAGCUGCUUUGUAUCUUUCUUCUUCGUUAUUCUGCUGAUUCAGAGGUUUUAUGUUUAAUUUCUGAAUUUUUAAAUGACUAUCGCGAAGUACCGUGAAUCUCGAAAUGUCUUUGGCCUCGUCAAAUCUUAUUAAUAGUUCUUGACUAUUCUUGAGAUUAGACUUGUUCCUUUUGGCUAAGAAACCAGUCGACCUUAUUGUGAUGAGUAGCCAAAUAAUCAUAAACAGUAACUUCUAUUUCUGCAUCUUCAUUUUCCUUCGUUUGUUUGUUUGUUUCUCAAUGUGAACUGGAUCAUGCCGGGACAUUACACGAAGGGUGUAAAAAAAAAAAAAAAAAAAAACGUUUGUUCUCGGCGUGGUUUCUAGUUCAAAUCCGGAUAUCUUGUACUCUAUAUUUAAUGGACUUGUUUUGAACCUUAAAUUCCUGAGUGUUCUUUUAGCCUUAUCGACAUGGUUUCUCUCUCAAUUAGUGAGAAAUUCAUGAUCGAUGGUUUCGGCGGAAGUGUGCGCCCAAUUCUUAUCGAUUUGGACAGGAAUGUUGGGAGCAUAAUCUUUUCACAAGCUUACUAGACUUACCAGAAAGAGUUCCACGUGGGUGUGAAGUUUGAGUUGUCUUUUGGUAAGAGACUGGUGAAGAUUGUGGUGCAGAUGAUUAGCAGAUUGUAUCACUAUCUUCACGCUGAAUUGAAUGGUCACCAUUCAUUAUCCUGCUGCAAUUCAUAAUCAUCAUAUCUUACUCUGGUAGACAUUUUUGAUGAUGUGUUCGCCUCAACGCAGCUUUCCACUACCUCUCACCAGGAUCCUUCGGUUCGAGAGCACGUGGGCGUGAGGUUGAGCGGUCUUUUAGUAAGAGUUGGUUGAAGGUUUUAGUUCAGAAGGUCAGCAUAUUGUAUCACCAUCUUACUAGAAUUCAUAGGCAUCACAUCGGUUAUUUUCCAACGAUAUGUGUUCGUGUCAAUGCAUACUUCGACUGCUUCACUUCUGAACCUUAUUCUUGUGAGUAUGUGGAUGUUGAAUCACUUAUAGCAGAUUUGUUUGGUGCACUCUGGAAUGGCACCACAACGUAGUUGAGAUAAGAAUCGGAAGAUCUUUGCACUUUUUGCGAAUGGUGUGUGCUCUCAUGGGGUGUUUAGGUUGAUUGCAUGAGAGUCAUUCUUUCCUCCAACAUUGAUCUUGUUUGACUAGAAAUCUGCAACUAAGCAAAAAUGGAGAGGUGGAUUGAGCACUACAACAGUUCCCAAGAGAUACUGCGUGUUGAGGAAGAUGACUUCUCGUUUUCUGCUUACCUAGUUCGAGCUUUUGGGUCUACUACUAACAUGGUGGCCACUUCUCUUGAAUCCCAAAGUACAGUUUCAAAUGGGUUCUUUGUUGGCAUAACUCUGGAGUAGUUGGUCACAUUUGGAAUAACUGAGGAAGAGGUUGUGCUUGGUACUAAAGGGAGUUAGUAUGACGAUAGUUAUUGGUUUUGUUCGAUUUGGGUAUGGCACUAUUUGCGACAUGGUACGAGAGUUGCUACACGCAACAUUGGUUGAUAGAGGAGACGUGCAAGCUUGUACUUGGAGGAUCGAAUUUUCGACGUGUGAAAUUGUGCACCCUCAGGAAAUUACUGCUUGUUUACUGAGACAACAAAUGUGUGGUCGAUAUCGCGGGCGGCCGACUGUGGUAUCGAUAAUUUAUUUGUUGGGUUCGUUAAGCAAGUGGGGCAGGAAUAUCCUUUUACGGCAGCCGUUAAAGAUUCACUAUUGUUAGAACUGGACCCAAAGACACAUCUAUUUUCGGAGUACGCGACGUUUCGAAUUCUUGGGCAAGACCCACUCUCAUUCUUCAGUUUUGGUUUUCAGUAUAAGUAUUUUAACCUCAUUUACUCUAGUUAAUUGUUUUGCCAUUACAAAUGUUUUUGGAAAAGUAUUUCCGUUUUCAGUUUUUAAGUGUAGCUCGAAUUUUCAACCUAUAUGUUGGUACAUAUCCAUUUUGACGUUAUCGUAUGUUAUGUUCUUACUUUUGACCUUAAUCUAUUUUAUGUUUUCGACUUUAUAUCUUUAUAAAGUAUGUUUUCUACUUUUACACUGAUGGGGAAGAAAGUAAGCUUGGAGGCAUGAUAGAGGAUUUUGCAACCCGCUCGCGACGGUGUGGUAUAUUCUCUUUGAUGCACCCACUCUGACUUGAUUUCUCUUUAUACAUAUAUUCUUCUUACUAUUUUCGUGUAUUUCAGUUUAGUAGGUGAUUUUAAAUUUCGGGGACGAAAUUCUUUUUAAGGGGGGUAGAUUGUUACACCCGCCCCUAAUUUAAAUCGUAUUUUCACUAAGUUUGAGUUUAUCUUGCUUUUAAAAUUGUUUUUGGGUCUUAAAUGGUGUGCCCAAGGGGCCCCACCCCCUGUUUUGUCCCCCGUUCCCUUUCCCUUUCUUUUAUUUAUUUUCUUCUUUCUUCUUCUUCUUCUUCUUCUUUUCUGUUUCUUUUUCUUUCUUUUCCGUCUGUCCCUCUCGGCUCUCUCUGCGCCCUCUCUUCUUUGCACCGCAACAAGCACACGCACGCACCCAUUGCACCUGCGCGAGGAAGACCAUCAUCAUCUCGUCCUGCUCUCUCUCCCUCUCGUGUUUGCGAACCCAGAAAAUCGGAAAGGAUCUCCCGCGAGAUUUUUAUAUUUUCCGGUUAGGUUUUAGGAUGAAAACAAACUCGGGUGCAUGAACACCCAUUUCCGGCGAGGAACCCGCCACUUUCGAGUUAAUCUCCGGCCAAACCACGGCGAGUUGGCCGGCGUGCAAGUUUCCGGCGAGUCCGACGGCUUUCGAGGCUUUUUCCGGUCAAACCACGGCGAAUUAGACGUCGUGUGAGGUGAAUUUAAUGACGGCGGUUCCGUUAUUCCUAUUUGGUAUGGCGUUGCACCAACGGUGUACGAACAUGUUUAGAAUGUCACAGCCCGUCCCGGGAUUUCUAUAUCGGGGGCGUGAAUUGACGUAACUACCCUUGACGGACAUUCGGGUACGUGUGUGUGCGACAUUAUUGAAUUAAUUUUGUAAGUUUUGGGAUUUUAAUUUUGGAAUUUGGAAAUUUUUGUGGUUAGGGAAUUGGAUGGAUGGUGAGGAUUGUGUUGGACCACACAAUCACACACACACGCACUCCCUGUCUUCUCUCCCUCCCGUAGCUCUCUCUGUCCCUCUCCCUCACGAUCUCUCUCUUUCCCCUCACCCUAUACGUACGGCCUUCACCCAAAACCCUUCAAAACUCGACGGAUCGAGGCAAAUAAGGAGAUUUCAAGCUUGUGGUGAGCUUUAGGAGGUUC